rnacentral:ncRNA from 2 species
AAACGCUGACGAUGAAAAUUUUAUUUUCUCGUCUGUCCCAAAAAACACAAAAACACAGUUCCCUAGUUGAUUCUGCCAGUAGUAAUCAUAUGCUUGUCUCAAAGAUUAAGCCAUGCAUGCAAACACGCUUUCAUUCAUCAAGAACGAAAGUUAGAGGUUCGAAGGCGAUCAGAUACCUUCCUAGUUCUAACCAUAAACGAUGCCAGCUAGCGAUCCGUCGACGUUCCUCCGACGACUCGUCCAGCAGCUUGCGGGAAACCAAAGCUUUUGAGCU